rnacentral:tRNA from 1 species
GUUCUUUUAGUUCAAUGGCAGAAUAGAAAUUUUCUAAAUUCCCCGAUUAUGGUUCGAAUCCAUAAGAGAACU